CUGCUGCCUCCCGUAGGAGUCUGGGCCGUGUCUCAGUCCCAAUGUGGCCGUCCGCCCUCUCAGGCCGGCUACUGAUCGUCGCCUUGGUGGGCCGUUACCCCGCCAACUGGCUAAUCAGACGCGGAUCCAUCGUAUACCGCCGGAGCUUUUCACACUGUCCCAUGCGGGACCGUGCGCUUAUGCGGUAUUAGCACCUGUUUCCAGGUGUUAUUCCCCUGUAUACGGCAGGUUAUCCACGCGUUACUCACCCGUCCGCCA
rnacentral:rRNA from 1 species